rnacentral:rRNA from 1 species
UCGGUCCCUAUCCGAUGCAGCCGUAGGAGAUCUGAGCAAGGCUGUCCCUAGUACGAGAGGACCGGGACGGACGCAGCUCUCGUGUGUCAGUUGUCCUGCCAAGGGCACCGCUGAUUUGCGACCUGCGGAAGGGAUAAGCGCUGAAAGCAUCUAAGUGCGAAGCUCUUUGCAAGAUGAGAUCUCCCACUGGGUUAACCAGGUAAGGCCCGUGGCCAGACGACCACGUUGAUAGGCCGGAGGUGUACGCACAGCAAUGUGUUCAGCCGACCGGUACUAAUCGGCCGAGGGCUUGGAGGCU